CAGUCAGCAAAAAUGCCCUCUUGCAAAAAAUACGGUGCUGUCAAAGCAAGAGGAGAUCUGUGGCAGCCGCAAGUAUGUGAUCAGAGCCUCACAUUUCAUAAAUAUGAGCCUCUCAUAUUUAUCCAUGUAUUUAUUUGUAUAUCACCUUUAUUAUUUUUAUAAAUAAUUCAAGGUGGCCAACA